rnacentral:rRNA from 1 species
UACGUAGGGGGCAAGCGUUGUCCGGAAUCAUUGGGCGUAAAGCGCGUGUAGGCGGCCCGGUAAGUCCGCUGUGAAAGUCGGGGGCUCAACCCUCGAAUGCCGGUGGAUACUGUCGGGCUAGAGUGCGGGAGAGGCGAGUGGAAUUCCUGGUGUAGCGGUGAAAUGCGCAGAUACCAGGAGGAACACCAAUUGCGAAGGCAGCUCGCUGGAACGUAACUGACGCUGAGACGCGAAAGCGUGGGGAGCAAACAGG